rnacentral:rRNA from 1 species
GUUAUCAGGUCCUCCCAGAGUUCCGAAUUGUGCAACAUGAAAGGGACAUCCAGGUGCUNUAUGCCCUAAAACGCUUCUUCAGGUGUGGUGUUGUGCGGCGCAAUCGGGAAGACAGAUAUGAGCUGCGAAUCCGUAAACUCUCCUGUUUACAAAGGGUAGUGGAGUUCUUUGAACGGCACCCGUUGAAGACCAAGAAAAAUGUGGAUCUCAAGAGGUUUGCACGCAUCGUUAGAUGGAUGGUCGAGGGCAAGCAUCUGGAGAGGGAGGGGUUGAUAAGGAUUAUAGAAACGGCAACGAUGAUGAAUCGGGCCGAUAAGCCGAAGGCCGAGGAAAUCCUCAAGAAACUUAAGGGAGUGGCCGGAUGAAGAGAUAGUCCACCCCCGGUGGAAACAUCGGGAGAAAGGUGAGCGAAAUCCCUUGUCGGGUAAGUGUGAACUUGCCCCUUCACUCCGUGAGGAGUGUUGUAACACCGGCUCAUAUCGGGGAAGCCCUCCUACCUGAAAAGGUGUGGGGUGAUCCCGAGGGAAGUCAGCCUGAUUUUUCGGGCUUGACCCCGUAACGACUGACCCGAAAGGGGAGGCGCACUGCCCCUGGUGCGCAAGACGCCGGCCCUCACCCUAGCAAAAGUGCUUAUGGAGGCCUCUUUCCGUCACAGGGGGUUGAUGAUGAAUAGAUUACAUCCUUGGUAUGUGACGGGGCUUGUGGAGGGAGAAGGGACCUUCUCCGUGAGCUUUAACUUUCGUAAACGCCUUAAAAUAGGCAUUGAAACAAGGCCCUCUUUCUCUCUCUCCCAGAAUGAGGCCAAUCUUGAGCUCCUUAAGGAGGUGCGGAGGUUUUUCCGGUGCGGAGCUAUCCGUUACUCUAGGUCUGACCGCACUUACAAAUACGAGGUGCGAUCGGUAAGGGACAUAGUGACGAAGAUACUUCCGCANUUCAGGGAAUAUCCUCUCCGUGGAGCCAAAGNGAGCGAUUUUGAGAAGUUUGCCGAUAUCUGCAAAAUGGUGCAUGCCAAUUUGCACAGGAAUGCUCGUUACUUGAGGGAAAUCAUAGAGUUGGCUUACUUGAUGAAUCCCUCAGGUAAACGGAAGCACCGGAAAGAGGAACUCCUAAGAGCACUUGGUGAGGUGAAGGUAUAGUCUGCCCCCUAUGGAAACAUGGGGAAAAGGUGAAGUUCCGACCCGCACGAAAGGCGUAACGAGUGGGGCACUGUCUCAACGAGGGACCCGGCGAAAUUGAAGUAGGUGUGAAGAUGCGCCUUACCCGCAGCAGGACAAAAAGACCCCGUGGAGCUUUACUGCAGCUUGGCAUUGAGUUAGGGCUUAGCUUGUGUAGGAUAGGUGGGAGGCUGAGAAGCCGGGGCGCCAGCUUCGGUGGAGCCGUCCUUGAAAUACCACCCUUGUUAAGUCUUGGCCCUAACCNCCUCGCCGUUAUCCGGGAGGGGGGACAGUGCCAGGUGGGCAGUUUGACUGGGGCGGUCGCCUCCCAAAAGGUAACGGAGGCGCCCAAAGGUCCCCUCAGGCUGAAUGGAAACCAGCCGUAGAGUGCAAAGGCAUAAGGGGGCUUGACUGUGAGGCCUACAAGCCGAGCAGAGACGAAAGUCGGGCUUAGUGAUCCCACGGUACCGUGUGGAAGGGCCGUGGCUUAACGGAUAAAAGCUACCCCGGGGAUAACAGGCUAGUCGGGCCCAAGAGUCCACAUCGACGGCCCGGCUCGGCACCUCGAUGUCGGCUCAUCGCAUCCUGGGGCUGGAUAAGGCCCCAAGGGUUGGGCUGUUCGCCCAUUAAAGCGGUACGUGAGCUGGGUUCAGACCGUCGUGAGACAGGUCGGACUCUAUCCGCUGUGGGCGCAGGUGACUUGAGAGGAGCUGCCCCUCGUACGAGAGGAUCGGGGUGGACAGACCUCUGGUGUGCCAGUUGUACCGCCAGGUGCAUCGCUGGGUAGCCAUGUCUGGAAGGGAUAAGUUCUGAAAGCAUCUCAAGAACGAAGCCCCCCUCAAGAUAAGGUCACCCACCGGGUUAACCGGGUAAGCGCGCUGGGAGACUACCAGCUUGAUAGGCGGCAGGUGUAAGCACAGCAAUGUGUUCAGCCGAGCCGUACUAAUCGCGCGAGGGCUUAAUCC